UACGUAGGGUGCGAGCGUUGUCCGGAAUUAUUGGGCGUAAAGAGCUCGUAGGCGGUCCGUCACGUCGGCUGUGAAAUCCCGCGGCUCAACUGCGGGUCUGCAGUCGAUACGGGCAGGCUAGAGUUCGGUAGGGGAGACUGGAAUUCCUGGUGUAGCGGUGAAAUGCGCAGAUAUCAGGAGGAACACCGAUGGCGAAGGCAGGUCUCUGGGCCGAUACUGACGCUGAGGAGCGAAAGCGUGGGGAGCGAACAGG
rnacentral:rRNA from 1 species